CCGCUGAACUUAAGCAUAUCAAUAAGCGGAGGAAAAGAAACCAACAGGGAUUGCCCUAGUAACGGCGAGUGAAGCGGCAACAGCUCAAAUUUGAAAUCUGGCCUCGGCCCGAGUUGUAAUUUGCAGAGGAUGUUUCUGGCGCGGUGCCUUCCGAGUUCCCUGGAACGGGACGCCACAGAGGGUGAGAGCCCCGUAUGGUUGGACACCAAGCCUGUGUGAAACUCCUUCGACGAGUCGAGUAGUUUGGGAAUGCUGCUCUAAAUGGGAGGUAAAUCUCUUCUAAAGCUAAAUACCGGCCAGAGACCGAUAGCGCACAAGUAGAGUGAUCGAAAGAUGAAAAGCACCUUGAAAAGGGGGUUAAACAGUACGUGAAAUUGUUGAAAGGGAAGCGCUCAUGACCAGACUUGUGCCGGGCGGUUCAUCCGGGGUUCUCCCCGGUGCACUCCGCCCGGCUCAGGCCAGCAUCGGUUCUCGUUGGGGGAUAAGAACGGUAGGAACGUGGCCCUCCCUCGGGAGGGUGUUAUAGCCUGCCGUACGAUACCCUGAUGGGGACCGAGGUUCGCGCUCCGCAAGGAUGCUGGCGUAAUGGUCAUCAGCGACCCGUCUUGAAACACGGACCAAGGAGUCGUCCAUUAGAGCGAGCGUUUGGGUGUAAAACCCGCACGCGUAAUGAAAGUGAAAUUAGGUGAGAGCUUCGGCGCAUCAUCGACCGAUCCUGAUGUUCUCGGAUGGAUUUGAGUAAGAGUUUUAACGGACGGACCCGAAAGACAGUGAACUAUGCUUGUAUAGGGUGAAGCCAGAGGAAACUCUGGUGGAGGCUCGCAGCGGUUCUGACGUGCAAAUCGAUCGUCAAAUAUGAGCAUGGGGGCGAAAGACUAAUCGAACUGUCUAGUAGCUGGUUACCGCC
rnacentral:rRNA from 1 species